rnacentral:ncRNA from 1 species
AUAGGUGGGGGUGCAAAGAAAGCCAGGAGUUUUGCCUAGAAGCAGCCACCCUUUAAAGAGUGCGUGAUAGCUCAUUGAUCGAGCGCCCUUGUGUUGAAGAUGAACGGCGCUAA